rnacentral:rRNA from 1 species
GUGCCAGCCGCCGCGGUAAUACGUAGGUGGCAAGCGUUGUCCGGAUUUACUGGGCGUAAAGGGCGUGCAGGCGGUCUGUUAAGUCUAGGGUGAAAGCUCCCGGCUCAACUGGGAGAGGUCCUUGGAUACUGGCGGACUUGAGGGAGGUAGAGGAGAGUGGAAUUCCCGGUGUAGUGGUGAUAUGCGUAGAUAUCGGGAGGAACACCAGUGGCGAAGGCGGCUCUCUGGGCCUUUCCUGACGCUGAGACGCGAAAGCGUGGGGAGCGAACCGGAUUAGAUACCCCCGUAGUCC